CGGGUUGGACGGAACAAAAGGAGCACUUCCACUCUGUGUAAUGCACAGGACGCUGCAAUAAGCUAACAGCCAAAUAAAUCACCAGCAGCAGGAGCAACGUGAUGUAUGACUGAAAACCCCGAGGUUUAAUAAAGCUCAGCAGGAAAACAGAGAGGGGGGAGGGUGACGUGAAGGAGCAUGAAUCCACGCAAUUAAAAGUUGAAACCACACGAAGACGUGUCACAGCUUCAGGACGACGAAGGCGAUCGGACCCGAGCUGCUGACAACAUGUACCACAACAUGACAGCAGAACCACAGAACCAGCGCCGCCAUCCCUCCACGUCCGCAGCUCCGGCUCCGACGCACCGGGGCGGGCGCCGCUCGCAGCCGGACUCACCGUGCAGUUGGCCGGCUUGCUCUGGAGGCUCUGCAGGGUCGGGCUGAGCCAGCAGAAGCCCAGGAUGAAGAGGCUGAGGAUCCCGCAGGCGAUCAGGAACAAGCCCAGUCUGAUGCUCUUGUCCUCGGCCUCGGAGUACUCGUACGACACCCGGAUCUUCGCCAUGGCAGACCCGCGGAGACCUCCGCCGGCAUGGAGGAGAGGAGGAGGAAGAGGAGGAUGGAAGGAUGGAGGAGAGACAGAGACAGAAGCGGAGAGAGACUGGGAGCGGGAGAGGGAGAGAGAGAGAGAAAAGGCAGAGAGAGAGAGAGAGAGAGAUUGAGAAAGAGAGGGAGCGGGAGAGACUGAGUGGGUGAGUGAGGGAGAGAGAGAGAGAUGGAGGCAGAGAGAGAGAGGGAGAGAGAGAGAGAUGGAGGCAGAGAGAGAGAGAGAGAGAGAGGGAGCGGGAGAGACUGAGUGGGUGAAUGAGGGAGAGAGAGAGAGGCAGAGAGAGAGAGAGAGAGAUUGAGAAAGAGAGGGAGCGGGAGAGACUGAGUGGGUGAAUGAGGGAGAGAGAGAGAGGCAGAGAGAGAGAGAGAGAGAGAGAGAUGGAGGCAGAGAGAGAGAGAGGAGACCUGUUCUGACCUGUUUUCAUCCACGUCUUUAUUCUCUGUUUCCUGCUCGUUUUCUCUCAUCUGUUUUAAUCCUGAACAAUCAGAACCUUCAGUGUUAAACAGUCAUUUCAGCGACUGCUGGUACGUUUCAACAGGAGGAGUAGUCCUCAUCUCUGACAAUGAAUGUAAAUACUUUAAUUGUAUUAAACACUCAGUCACAUCGGUUAAAAACAAGAAAGAAUCAAAUCAAAGUUUGUGACGAUGAUGAUGAUGAUGAAAGUGGAAAUGUGGAGAAAAAAGAGCCAAACGUGAGACAAAAAUCUUGAUAAACAUAAAUUGAGGCAAGAAUCAGAAAUUAAAAUGAAAACAAUAAUCACACACAAACAUCUUUAACAUUUAAUCAUAACAACAACAGCAGGAAGCCCAUAAUGUUGUUUGUUUAUCCACUCAGCAGAUGUUUACAUACAAAAACCAGGAUCUAUCGUUUGGGGACCAUAAAAUGGGAAAAAAUGUUUUAUGAUCUAUCUAAAAGUAGUUUUUCUGAAACAUUAGCUGCCUCGUGAGAUGAGGUAAACCAGCAGGAACAAACCAAAGCACUCAUGUGGUUUCCUUCAGCCUCGCUGUGCUGUGUAAAAACAAACCUCCGUCCCUCGUCCUUCAGUUAAGAAGCUUAUCUCAUUCUGCAUGUGAGAGAAGCAUGAGCAGCCACCGGCCAAAUAAAACACAAAUCUGGGCUGAACCACGAGGUUCACCGGGGCGAUCGAACAGCACUCAACCCGUAGAGAGAGAGAGAGAUGUACAGUAACACCGCAGCACACGGCCCAAAUUAAGAACCCAGUUCUUUGUAUUGUCAGAAUGAUGUGGUCCAGUGUCAUCUACGGUCGACACCCGGAGCUCAUGACCCACGGGCCCUGACCGAGCAGCGAGCACGUUUCCCAUCUUCAGAAUCAGCAGGAGUCUGCCACUUGUUGGAUGGGUCUAAUCGCAGUGAAAGAUGCAGCCAAGCGUCCGAAACGGCCUCCGAGGACCAAGCGAUCAAUGGUGAGACGGAGCCGCAUCGAUCCCGGUCCACCUGAGCCGGUAGAAGAGUCCGGCAAGCGGGAGCAAGGAACUUGUUGAGAAAUCUAACAACACAAAAGCUGGUCUCUGCUGACUCCUUGGUGCUAAAUGGCGCCCUGUCUGGGUUUGUGCUGAGAUGAGACCACAUCUCAUCUAGCUCCAACAAACGUGAUAAUGUGUGAAGGGUUAUUAGUAAUAAACCAGCUUCUGUAUGUGUAGAAUGUGCUGAA